UCUCUUUCCAUCAAGAACAACGAUUUCACAACUACAAAUGACUCAUGUUGAAGAGAAGAUCAUCAUAGAACAAAUUAUGGAUACACAUAAUCCGAAUGGUGGCAUAGAUGUUGAUGCAAAUUGUCUUCUCAAGUUUGUGGAGGACAUUUUCAAUUUCAAUGCGGUUCCUCGAGAAGCAAUGCAAGACAGGUUACAACUACAAGAACACAUCCAGAAGGAGAUUUCAUUUGUUGUUUUACAACUCUCUUAAUUUCAUGAUCUACAGAGAGGGAUUGCACCAGAAUUCUUACGAUUUCUUCAAUACAAGUGCUUCUCAACUUUUCAAGUUGGGGUGACCCAAUUGUCAUUUCACUGGACAAACGAGGAAGAUUGGUUCAUUCUAAUGCACUGCACGUGUGGAAUAUCAACUUUCUAGAAGGAGAACAAUGAGACUAGGUGAUAUAAUCCCUUCAUUAGAAAAUGAGUUGAGGGAAAUGACUUCUGGUGCUGACCGUGAGACUGACGACAAACAAAUACAUAAU